AAGUCGUAACAAGGUUUCCGUAGGUGAACCUGCGGAAGGAUCAUUACAAAUCUUUUGCAGUCUGCGUGCGUGAGUGCGCAGUACUUGCAACAUUAGCACAAGGCCGCAAGGUCUUGAUGUUUACGCUUGUUUGUUUGACAGAGUUAGUUGAGAAAAAAAUAUAGACAACUUUUAACAAUGGAUCUCUUGGCUCUU
rnacentral:misc_RNA from 1 species